rnacentral:rRNA from 1 species
CUACGGGUCGCAGCAGUGGGGAAUAUUGCACAAUGGGCGCAAGCCUGAUGCAGCAACGCCGUGUGAGUGAUGAAGGUCUUCGGAUUGUAAAACUCUGUCCUAUGGGAAGAAAAAAAUGACGGUACCAUAGGAGGAAGCCCCGGCUAACUACGUGCCAGCAGCCGCGGUAAUACGUAGGGGGCAAGCGUUAUCCGGAAUCACUGGGCGUAAAGGGUGCGUAGGCGGCCUAUCAAGUCAGAGGUGAAAGGCAUUGGCUCAACCAAUGUAAGCCUUUGAAACUGUUAGGCUUGAGUGCAGGAGAGGUAAGUGGAAUUCCUAGUGUAGAGGUGAAAUUCGUAGAUAUUAGGAGGAACACCAGUGGCGAAGGCGACUUACUGGACUGUAACUGACGCUGAGGCACGAAAGCGUGGGGAGCGAACAGGAUUAGAUACCCCCGUAGUC